UGGGAUUCUUGGCAGUGGGGUGGCUGAUCUAUCUAUGUUGGUGUCAAAGCUGUUGGUAAAAAUGAUAUGAAAAAUUAUGUAUAGUUGAAGAGACGCUGAAGCAUGUAUAAAGCUUUAAAUGUAAGACGCAUUCUAGGUUUACAAUUUGAGCCCUAACCUGUUGCUUUGCGAAACAACAGGUUCGCAGAAAUUGAAGCUGAGGCUACCUGGUCCUACCAAUUUGGAUUCGGAAUAAUUAGGCAUGCCAUUAGGAAUUUUAGUAUCUAUCUCAAAAGUAGGCCUUUCAGCAACGUUGGUGUUAAAUCGAGGUGAGCAGAGCUGUGAAACAGAAUCAGAUGGACUUGGA
rnacentral:lncRNA from 1 species